UACGUAGGCAGCAAGCGUUGUUCGGAAUUACUGGGCGUAAAGCGCACGCAGGCGGCUAGUCAAGUUCGACGUGAAAGCUCCCGGCUUAACUGGGAGAGGUCGUUGAAAACUGGUUAGCUUGAGGCAAUGAGAGGGGUGUAGAAUUCCCGGUGUAGUGGUGGAAUGCGUAGAUAUCGGGAGGAAUACCAGUGGCGAAAGCGGCACCCUAGCGUUGUUCUGACGCUCAUGUGCGAAAGCGUGGGGAGCGAACGGG
rnacentral:rRNA from 1 species